rnacentral:rRNA from 1 species
CACGUAGGGCGCAAGCGUUGUCCGGAUUUACUGGGCGUAAAGGGCGCGUAGGCGGCCACCGCAAGUCGACUGUGAAAUCUCCGGGCUUAACCCGGAAAGGUCAGCCGAUACUGCGGGGCUAGAGUGCAGAAGGGGCAACUGGAAUUCUCGGUGUAGCGGUGAAAUGCGUAGAUAUCGAGAGGAACACCUGCGGCGAAGGCGGGUUGCUGGGCUGACACUGACGCUGAGGCGCGAAAGCUAGGGGAGCGAACGGG